rnacentral:rRNA from 1 species
CACUCCUACGGGAGGCAGCAGUGGGGAAUUUUGGACAAUGGGCGAAAGCCUGAUCCAGCAAUGCCGCGUGAGUGAAGAAGGCCUUCGGGUUGUAAAGCUCUUUUGUCAGGGAAGAAACGGUGAAAGCUAAUAUCUUUUGCUAAUGACGGUACCUGAAGAAUAAGCACCGGCUAACUACGUGCCAGCAGCCGCGGUAAUACGUAGGGUGCAAGCGUUAAUCGGAAUUACUGGGCGUAAAGCGUGCGCAGGCGGUUUUGUAAGUCUGAUGUGAAAUCCCCGGGCUCAACCUGGGAAUUGCAUUGGAGACUGCAAGGCUAGAAUCUGGCAGAGGGGGGUAGAAUUCCACGUGUAGCAGUGAAAUGCGUAGAUAUGUGGAGGAACACCGAUGGCGAAGGCAGCCCCCUGGGUCAAGAUUGACGCUCAUGCACGAAAGCGUGGGGAGCAAACAGGAUUAGAAACCCGAGUAGUCCCAUGA